GAUUAAGAACGUAGCGAAAUGCGAUAAGUAAUGUGAAUUGCAGAAUUCAGUGAAUCAUCGAAUCUUUGAACGCACAUUGCGCCCGCCAGUAUUCUGGCGGGCAUGCCUGUCUGAGCGUCAUUUCAACCCUCAUGCCCCUAGGGCGUGGUGUUGGGGAUCGGCCAAAGCCCGCGAGGGACGGCCGGCCCCUAAAUCUAGUGGCGGACCCGUCGUGGCCUCCUCUGCGAAGUAGUGAUAUUCCGCAUCGGAGAGCGAUGAGCCCCUGCCGUUAAACCCCCAACUUUCCAAGGUUGACCUCAGAUCAGGUAGGAAUACCCGCUGAACUUAAGCAUAUCAAUAAGCGGAGGA
rnacentral:misc_RNA from 1 species